AAGCGUUUUAUUGGAGCUGGUGGUCGUGAUGAGAGACCAAUUUAGAAGUUGAACCCUCUAUGUCAGACUCAGCAACAUCUUCAUUUUCAGCAGUAGAGCCAUCUUCUGUUGUUAUGGAAAUAUGUGACGCUUUCUUGUCAUGUACAUCAAAAUGAUGAGCAUCUCUCUCAUGCUUCCUAUGAUUAUUUAUCUCAUCAAAUAAUGGUUUACGUUUU
rnacentral:misc_RNA from 1 species